AACGAACGCUGGCAGCAUGCCUAACACAUGCAAGUCGAACGAGACCUUCGGGGCUAGUGGCGCACGGGUGCGUAACGCGUGGGAACCUGCCCUUAGGUUCGGAAUAACUCCCCGAAAGGGGUGCUAAUACCGGAUAAUGUCUUCGGACCAAAGAUUUAUCGCCUUUGGAUGGGCCCGCGUUGGAUUAGCUAGUUGGUAGGGUAAAAGCCUACCAAGGCGACGAUCCAUAGCUGGUCUGAGAGGAUGAUCAGCCACACUGGGACUGAGACACGGCCCAGACUCCUACGGGAGGCAGCAGUGGGGAAUAUUGGACAAUGGGCGAAAGCCUGAUCCAGCAAUGCCGCGUGAGUGAUGAAGGCCUGAGGGUUGUAAAGCUCUUUUACCCGGGAUGAUAAUGACAGUACCGGGAGAAUAAGCUCCGGCUAACUCCGUG
rnacentral:rRNA from 1 species